UGUGGCAGAAAAGUGCAAUAAACUUAAAAUUUAUAUAAAAAGUUAAUCUUUCAUUAGA
rnacentral:tRNA from 2 species